GGGCCCGCACAAGCGGUGGAGUAUGUGGUUUAAUUCGAUGCAACGCGAAGAACCUUACCAGGGUUUGACAUCCUGCGAAUCUCUUGGAAACGAGAGAGUGCCUUCGGGAACGCAGUGACAGGUGGUGCAUGGCUGUCGUCAGCUCGUGUCGUGAGAUGUUGGGUUAAGUCCCGCAACGAGCGCAACCCACGUCUUUAGUUGCCAGCAUUUAGUUGGGCACUCUAGAGAGACCGCCGGUGAUAAACCGGAGGAAGGUGUGGAUGACGUCAAGUCAUCAUGCCCCUUACAUCCUGGGCUACACACGUACUACAAUGGCAGUGACAGAGGGACGCUACCAGGUGACUGGAUGCAAAUCUCAAAAAGCUGUCUCAGUUCGGAUUGUUGUCUGCAACUCGACAACAUG
rnacentral:rRNA from 1 species